CAAAGCCUUUGACACAUACUUAAACUGCACGCCAACCACUGGAUGCUUUUAUGAAGGUUCUAACAAACAACAAACACCCUCCCCACCUAAAACCACUCCCACUGACCCAGACUCUGGCUCCGGCUCCGUGAUGCCUGCCCCCCUGUCCUCUCGCCGGUGCCCCUCGGCCCGGAUCCUGUCCUCCGUCCCCCGGAGAACUCCCGGUUGCCAGACCUCCGUUCCAUGGAUUGUCCUUUUGUUUGUCCCGCCCGCAUGCCCUGAUGUGUCUUGGGCCAUCUGGGAUCCGUCCCUUGAGGGGGUGUACUGUCACGGUGUGGGUUUGUUUCCUGUUUUAUUUUGUAGUUUCCUGCCUCUUGUGUCCCUGGGUUACUUCCCUUCCUGCCCUGCCCUGUCGUCCCCUGU
ensembl:lncRNA